rnacentral:rRNA from 1 species
ACGCUGGCGGCGUGCCUAACACAUGCAAGUCGAACGGGGUCCAUGGGAGCUUGCUCCCGGAAGACCUAGUGGCGAACGGGUGAGUAACACGUGAGAAACCUGCCCUGGAGUGGGGAAUAACUCGGGGAAACUCGAGCUAAUACCGCAUACCCUCGGAUGGUCGCAUGGCCGACCGAGGAAAGAUUUAUCGCUUCAGGAGGGUCUCGCGGCCUAUCAGCUAGUUGGUGGGGUAACGGCCUACCAAGGCAACGACGGGUAGCUGGUUUGAGAGAACGAUCAGCCACACUGGGACUGAGACACGGCCCAGACUCCUACGGGAGGCAGCAGUGGGGAAUCUUGCGCAAUGGGCGAAAGCCUGACGCAGCAACGCCGCGUGCGGGAUGACGGCCUUCGUGGUUGUAAACCGCUUUCAGCAGGGACGAAACUGACGGUACCUGCAGAAGAAGCCCCGGCUAACUACGUG